CCUACGGGAGGCAGCAGUAAGGAAUAUUGGUCAAUGGACGAAAGUCUGAACCAGCCAUGCCGCGUGAAGGAUUAAGGCCCUCUGGGUUGUAAACUUCUUUUAUCUGGGACGAAAAAAGGGUAUUCUUACUCACUUGACGGUACCAGAGGAAUAAGCACCGGCUAACUCCGUGCCAGCAGCCGCGGUAAUACGGAGGGUGCAAGCGUUAUCCGGAUUUACUGGGUUUAAAGGGUGCGUAGGUGGGCUUGUAAGUCAGUGGUGAAAUCUCCGGGCUUAACCCGGAAACUGCCAUUGAUACUAUAGGUCUUGAAUUAUCUGGAGGUAAGCGGAAUAUGUCAUGUAGCGGUGAAAUGCUUAGAUAUGACAUAGAACACCAAUUGCGAAGGCAGCUUACUACGGAUACAUUGACACUGAGGCACGAAAGCGUGGGGAUCAAACAGGAUUAGAUACCCUGGUAGUCCACGCCCUAAACGAUGGAUACUCGACAUCAGCGAUACACUGUUGGUGUCUGAGCGAAAGCAUUAAGUAUCCCACCUGGAAGUACGAUCGCAAGAUUGAACUUAAAGGAAUUGACGG
rnacentral:rRNA from 1 species